CCUGUGCCUCCUUAUAAUGGUCGCCGCUUUUUCGGAUGGCCCAGACUGUCCUUUCCCCAUCGAUGACGAAUAGCUGAUAGCUUUGCGCUUUGUAAUCGAUUACGAAGCUUCGAUACUUUGUUUACGUUUUAUGUGGAAUUGUGGUAAGAUUGUAUAUGGAAAAUCUUGCGGAAUUGAUAAGGACCGCUCUUCAUAUUUAAUUUUUUUUUUCUUGCUGUAUACGAGAGUGGACGCAAUAUGAAUAAAUCUCUAUGCUACAGUCAAUUAUUUCCAUUAUUCGAAUUAAUUCAUCUUGAGAACUUUAAAAGUCUUAAUAAACAGAAACUUACUCAUAUUGCUGAUACAAAAAAGAAAAAAAUUCUUAUCUUCUACUUGUUAUCUCAUUAUCGGAUUGUUUUAUAAGGUAUUUCUCCUGCCUUCGUAGCAUGCCUCGGCACAUAUUCGGGAGGUCCAUGGUUCUAGUCGCGGAGAGGGCAUUGCUCGUUUUUCACGUCUCUCAGCUUCCAAAAAAAUCCUAAUGUCUCUACAAUGUCUUCUUCAAAAUAAACAAAUAAUCUGAUGGAAUGAAAAUAUUUUGGUCAUUACAACUUUUAAUCACUGCUGUUUA